rnacentral:lncRNA from 1 species
UGGAUACCUGCAACUUCAACCGAGUCGAUUUGAAGCCUUUGGAUUUGAGAGGAUGAUAUGGUGCAAAUAUGCCGCUAUGGAAUUGAGGCUGAAACCAUUGUUUGGUUGCCUGAUGAUAAUCCAGAGAGGAGGUUAUAUGUUUGUAAGAUAGAGAAGUAUGAGAAUGGGUAUGGUUGGAAGGAUCCCAAAAUGUUUGACUCUGC